GACGUAGGGUGCGAGCGUUGUCCGGAUUUAUUGGGCGUAAAGAGCUCGUAGGCGGCUCGUCGCGUCAGCUGUGAAAACCCGCGGCUUAACCGUGGGCUUGCAGCUGAUACGGGCGGGCUAGAGUUCGGUAGGGGAGACUGGAAUUCCUGGUGUAGCGGUGAAAUGCGCAGAUAUCAGGAGGAACACCGGUGGCGAAGGCGGAUCUCUGGGCCAUUACUGACGCUGAGGAGCGAAAGCGUGGGGAGCGAACAGG
rnacentral:rRNA from 1 species